GCUCCCAUCGUCUAGCGGUUAGGACGCCGCCCUCUCAAGGCGGAAACAGGGGUUCGAAUCCCCUUGGGAGCGCCA
rnacentral:tRNA from 1 species